CAGCCGCCACGGUAAUACGAAGGGUGCAAGCGUUAAUCGGAAUUACUGGGCGUAAAGCGUGCGUAGGCGGUUUGUUAAGUCUGCUGUGAAAUCCCCGGGCUCAACCUGGGAACUGCAUUUGUGACUGGCAAGCUAGAGUAUGGCAGAGGGGGGUGGAAUUCCGCGUGUAGCAGUGAAAUGCGUAGAUAUGCGGAGGAACACCGAUGGCGAAGGCGGCCAUCUGGGACAACACUGACGCUGAGGCACGAAAGCGUGGGGAGCAAACAGGAUUAGAUACCCGCGUAGUCCCUGUCUCUUAUAC
rnacentral:rRNA from 1 species